CGGCUGCGCCGGGUGGCCGUGCCUCGCGUCACCUGCGCCCGCCAUGCGGGGACGGGGGAGAGAGGGGAAGAGGCCAUUGGACCCUUUCUGCAAUUCCCUUGUGUUGCAGAAUAGCGCAGGAAGGAGACUAGCCAAGCCACUGUUUCCAGGAGGCUGUGUUCAGAGAGAAGUUUUGGCAUACAAGUUUUCUAUGUGAAAAGGGGGCUACGGGAGGAAAACAGUUGUGUGCAAAUCAUGCCGAGACGGUGAGGUGCAAGACACCUGGAUCUGGGCUAGUCCUGAGGCUGUCACAAACAGAAGUGGCUGUGUGGUGUUUGUUACCUCUCUGCCCUGGGGAAAGAAACAGCGUCUGACCAGCAUCCUCAUUCUUGCUCCAGACAAGUUGACCAGCAAGGGCCCCAGAAUUGCUGCAACUGGCAAAAAAAAAGCAUCAAUAUAUUCAACAAUAGCACUAAUGAAGCCCAGCUGGAUCCUGCACACAUUAGAUGAUAUUGCACCUCUCUGACCUGCCUGUACAUAGGUUUAACUCGUAAUCCUGCCACCUUUCAUCCAGUCAAUGGGCAAUAUGAAUUUUUAACAAAGAUUAGUCACUGGAAGACUAUUUCUCAUACCUGAUUGAAGAAAACUGGCAAAUGGAUCAGUGUUUAAACGAAGUCAAACAGAAACCAAGACAACAUUCCACAGUCUUUUCACCUUGGAGAGUACCUUUUUAGUCAGUAGGGAUUAUCUUUAUGUUUUAUAUGACUAAGGCACAGAUUAUUUUCACGUAUAUGACUAGGAUGCAGAUUGUUUUCAUCCCUAGUUUUGUUAACUUUAUAUUUUGAAUAAUAUCCAGAAGUGCAGCAGGCUGAGGGGGGAGGGACUCUCUUGUAAUGUUUCCCAAUUUUUGCCAAAAAAAACUUAUACCCUACAGAUAUCUGGUAAAAAAAAGUAUCAUCAGAUCAGUUUUAUCCAUUAAGCUCACAAGUAGUAGAUAAUGGAAUUCCUUGAAUGAAAUUAGGCAGCCUAACUCCUAGAUCAAAGAAACAUGAGCAAGAACUGAAUAGCAUUAAUCCCAAAGUCUAAAAAUUAAGUGUUUAAAAUGUUUUGAAUUAAUCUAAAUACAAAAGGAUUCUUAAAUUAAAUCUUAAUAUGAUUCUGGCUGGCUGACUUCCCACCCAUGUCUAUUCAUAAGCAUAACAGGGCAGCUCUGCACCCUGGGCAGCGAUUGUUUUUGCACCCUCCCCCUCCUCCUCCUCAAAGGUAGCACCUGAAGCCACUGCCCCAGUUGCAUCCUCUCAGUAAUGCAACUGAUGUGUUGUUCAGGAAAUGAAGAUAGUAAGGAGUUGUUCAAAUUUUAUUAGUUUAUAACCAAUUAGCUCAUUUGUUUAGAGCACAGCCCUAACACCACCAAGGUUGUAGGUUCAAUCCCUGAAUAAAGCAAGGCAACCUUUCCUGCCUCAGGCAGGGGGGUGGACUAGAUGACCUUGUCCCUUCCAGCCCUACUUCUUCUCUAUGAUUCACUUCCACUGUUUUUAGUCAUCUCACCGAGAAUACAUGGUUUGAAAGGUUGAUUUUCUCUGAAAUGAAAAAUCUUUGAAAACUGUUCUUUUGCUAUUAGGUUUGGAAAAUGCUGGCUUUUACAAGACUUAACUAUGGGUCUAAAACUAGUUACACACCAUUCCAUAAAAGUUAAAGUGACUCAACAUAAAUAAUGCAAAACAAUGACACAGUUUAAGAAUGAAUCACAGGAACUGAUUUCAGGUGUUUUGGACCUAUGACUUCACUUUUUAAAAUGUAUGACAAUGGCUUUUCCCCUUCUGGUCUCAGCUAACAAUCUCCUUUUGGUUAGAUGGUUACCAGAAGUGCUCUAAAUCAAUGUUCCAUUAGUUACAGUAAGAUACUCGGGUCUUUUCAGGUUGUACAUUUUAAAAAUUAAGUGUGGUAUAGUUAUAUAUAGCGGACUAUCAAUAUAUGAAAAAUUAACAUCCUUUGUAAAUAAGACUGUUGAUUAUUCUCCUCAUCCUAACAUGGAUUUAACAUCCAUUUUGUAGAGAGAGCUCUCUCUAUCCAUAGGUAUACAUUUUUGUCAAUGUAUAGCUAUGCUAUAUAUGCUUACAAAAACCAAUAGAGUGAAUCAAAGAGGCACAAGUUACAUAGUUCUGGUAAGUAAUUUUAAAACAGAAAACUCUCUACUAGCACAGAUUAAAACAAGUUCCUUUUAUUCACACAAGGCAGUGCAAACAUAUGGUUACUCCAAUGGAAGAAAUCCCCUAUUUUUAGUACUGCAAAUUCAAAAAAACAUCAUUAUCCAUUAACUGCAGUCACCCUCUCCUCCAGUAUAUUUUACCUUUGAUAAACAUAUCUACCCUUCAAUUUAAAGUGAGACAAAAUAGAAGCAGUGAGAGCUUAAUUUGGAAUGUGAGAUCAGAGAACACAUUCAGACAUGCCAUGCCACGGGAGCAGAUCAUUAGCUGGGAAAGAUGUCAUAAUUCCAUUGAAGUGAAUGAGACUAUGGCAGUUUAUACCAACUGAGACUGUGCCUAUAUCUUUUCUUCCCUUCCUAUAUUCAUCUUCUAAAAAUAUGUUAAUGUAGUGUUGUUUCAUGUACAAUUAAUCUAGUAAGUGUAGAAAUAAGAGACUCAGUUUUACUCACUAGAUAUACAGAAACCAAUCCUGCUUGUGUUUCAUUACUGAGCUGUACUUUUUAGUAUAGAUGCAUAGCUAUAAGACAAGAAGAAUGCUCUUAUAGGAGAACACAGUUCCAACAAAGGAUGGAGCUGAAAUCAUAUCCACCACUUUUUGCUGAAAAGACAACUUUUCACUGAAUCACAAUAGUCCAGAGGAUACUAUGAAUAUGAAAAUAUAAUCCUAAUGAAAUAAACAAAAACAUGUUUUUUAAAAUUUUAACAAUUACAUUACUGAUUUUAUUUUUCAAUGUCCAUAGUUUAAAAACAGACAAGAUGUUUGUCAAUGCAGGCUCUUGGAAACAGUCAUUCAUAAAGCAUGUCCGUGCAUAACAGUCAAUCGAAAGUGACAUUUCUUAUUCCAGGGUUUUUUCUUAGGUUUCCAAAACUCAUACUAGAAGAAAGCUUAUCCUGUAUUAAUAUCUUCAACAUCAAUAAAACAAAUAGUACAAUAAAAUUCUCAUUAUAAAGUUGAAUAGUUUUUCUAUUUUAAACAUUAAGGAUUUAUUUGAAAAAGCAGACGUUCUCUAUUAUUUACCCCGGUAUAAAACAGUAGGUAUAAACCUAAUGUAGAAAUCCGAAGUUAGAUAGAUCCUUUGGCAGUAUAUUUAGUUACAAUCAGGCCUUAAAAAUAAAUAUGAUAAUGUUUUGAAGUACGAAGAGAAAAAGUGAUCCCAUUAACACCAAACCCUCUAAAUACACCAUUUUAAUGACAAAAAUCAAAAUAUUUUACACUAUCUACAAAUUGCAUAAAUGCAUCAAAGAAUUAGGCUUACAAGAAAUGACGGGAUGCCAAAUCCUGCAAUAUAAAAUUUCAGGUUUAUUUAUAGAGUGAAUGUAUAUGUCAUAAUGUGCAUAAAUCCUCAGACAAAUGAGUAUAUACACUAUUUAUAUUAAGAACUAAAUUUGAAUCAAACAUUAAUCCAGUAACUGGUCAAUGCUUGUCAUCCCAAUUUAAGAUACUGGACAAUAUUUAUGAUGGAUCAGAGCCUAUAAAUCAAACAAAAACUUACCUGUAUAUUUUACUAACAAAUGUGAUUGAUUCUACAUAAAUGUUAGUAGGGUUAAAUUUGAUUCAAUAUAUUUUUUACUAGAACAAGUCCUUGCAUAAAGAAUUUCCAAAUGGUUAGAAAUCCUUAAAAAAUAAAAAUCAGCAUUUCAAAUGAAUUUGUGAUAUUUUUUUUAAAAAGGAAUCAAGGAAUGUGUUAUCAAAACACGGAUAUGAUGCCAACUAAAGUAGUUUUUAUUAAACAGCUUCAAGUGAAAAUUAAAUGCCAAAAAAUUUGCAAAAGUUAUGCACACUUGGAAUUUGUACCAUUCAAAGAACAAUUACCAAACACUUUGUUCUAAUAUGAAGCCACAAUUGAACAAAAUCAUACUACUGAAUCAAUUUAGUAACAGUACAAGAAAUGGAGGUGGCACUGAAUUGAGCGUACAUUUUAUUUUGGGAGAACACUAGUAGGAUCUACAGUGUAAUAGUUUUCAUUUGAUAGAAAAAUUAUACACCAUAACAUUCAUAUGCAGAAAUGCUUUCAACAAUUCCAUGCAUUUAAUCGGAUGGUUUUAUCCAAGUGCUUUCGUCCAUUAUUUUCCUCAGUCUAAAGAUAAGCCAUUCAUAAAGUUAAAAUAUUUAUAAAUAUGAUUACAUUACUGAGCUGAUUAAGUAGGUGGGAAGAGAGCGAUGUUCAGAUUUCCAAAGUAAAAACAAUAAAAGGAAAGAA